CAGCAGCCGCGGUAAUACAGAGGGUGCGAGCGUUAAUCGGAAUUACUGGGCGUAAAGCGCGCGUAGACGGUUUGGUAAGUCAGAUGUGAAAUCCCUGGGCUCAACCUGGGAACUGCAUUUGAUACUGCCUGGCUAGAGUAUCGAAGAGGGAAGUGGAAUUUCCGGUGUAGCGGUGAAAUGCGUAGAUAUCGGAAGGAACACCUGUGGCGAAAGCGACUUCCUGGUCAAAUACUGACGUUCAUGUGCGAAAGCGUGGGGAGCAAACAGGAUUAGAUACCCCAGUAGUCCCUGUCUCUUAUAC
rnacentral:rRNA from 1 species